rnacentral:rRNA from 1 species
CCUACGGGGGGCUGCAGUGGGGAAUAUUGGACAAUGGGGGCAACCCUGAUCCAGCCAUGCCGCGUGUGUGAAGAAGGCCCUCGGGUUGUAAAGCACUUUCAGUGAGGAAGAACGCCUGGUGGUUAAUACCCAUCAGGAAAGACAUCACUCACAGAAGAAGCACCGGCUAACUCCGUGCCAGCAGCCGCGGUAAUACGGAGGGUGCGAGCGUUAAUCGGAAUUACUGGGCGUAAAGCGCGCGUAGGUGGCUUGAUAAGCCGGUUGUGAAAGCCCGGGGCUCAACCUGGGAACGGCAUCCGGAACUGUCAAGCUAGAGUGCAGGAGAGGAAGGUAGAAUUCCCGGUGUAGCGGUGAAAUGCGUAGAGAUCGGGAGGAAUACCAGUGGCGAAGGCGGCCUUCUGGACUGACACUGACACUGAGGUGCGAAAGCGUGGGUAGCAAACAGGAUUAGAUACCCUAGUAGUC